rnacentral:lncRNA from 1 species
AAGCAUCUUCCUCCCUCAGAUGAGACACCCUUACACUGUGCUUCCGAGAACGGCCAAGAUGCUGUUGCAGAGACGCUCCUCGAGAAGGGCGGAGAAGUGAACGCCAAGAAUCCAUUUGGUGGGACUCCCUUACACCUUGCUUCCUUGAACGGCCAUGGUGCUGUUGUAGAGACGCUCCUCGAGAAGGGCGGAGAAGUGAACGCCAAGACUUUGAUUGGUGAGACACCCUUACACUGGGCUUCCGAGAACGGCCAUUAUACUGUUGCGGAGACGCUCCUUGAGAAGGGCGGAGAAGUGAACGCCAAGACUAACAAUGGUAACGAUUGGGAAGCGAGUGACUUCAUAAAGGCACCAGAAGAAUUUUGCUUUUGUUUCUUUUCUCUUUUUUGUCUUCAUGGAAAUUUAUAACAAUUAUUAUUCAGAUCUAAUAAGGAUACCUCUAUCAUCAGCUUUUCUUAUUUCUUCAUCAUUCAUUAUUCUUUUCUAUUUAUCCAUUCCUUAUGUUUUAGUUGUUUAUUUGAGUUAUUUGUAAAUGUUACUUAUUCAUUAUCAUUUAUCAUAUGAAUUUCAAU